rnacentral:rRNA from 1 species
UACGUAGGUCCCGAGCGUUGUCCGGAUUUAUUGGGCGUAAAGCGAGCGCAGGUGGUUUAAUAAGUCUGAUGUAAAAGGCAGUGGCUCAACCAUUGUGUGCAUUGGAAACUGUUAGACUUGAGUGCAGUAGAGGAGAGUGGAAUUCCAUGUGUAGCGGUGAAAUGCGUAGAUAUCGGGAGGAACACCGGUGGCGAAAGCGGCUCUCUGGACUGUCACUGACACUGAGGCUCGAAAGCGUGGGUAGCAAACAGG